rnacentral:misc_RNA from 1 species
CCGAGUUUACAACUCCCAAACCCCUGUGAACAUACCUACUGUUGCCUCGGCGGAUCAGCCCGCUCCCGGUAAAAGGGACGGCCCGCCCGAGGACCCCUAAACUCUGUUUCUAUAUGUAACUUCUGAGUAAAACAUACAGAUAAAUCA